rnacentral:rRNA from 1 species
AUGAAGCUGAAGCUAUAUGGCUCCAGGAUAUUGGAGCAUGAUUCUGCCAUACAGGUCUUGGGCAAGCUACCCAACCUGACCUUCCUAACUCUACGCUACAAGUCAUUCGUGGGUGAGCAGGUCCAUAUCAAGUUCCACAGGGAGGAAUUCCUGAGUCUAGUGGUGCUGGAAGUGUAUCUCCAAGAGGAGGUCAAAUCAUUUGAGUUUGAAGAAGGAGCAACCCCUAAGCUCGAGCUAUUGCGGUACUGUGGUUAUCCUUCACAGUGCAACAUCGGGUAUUUUGUUGGGCUACAAUAUCUCCCAAGCUUCAGGGAAUUCAUGCUCAGUGACUACUAUCGCUACUCCGAGAGUAAACACAAGGAUGACUUCCUGGGCGACUUGCAGGCCCAGAUUUCACAGAAUAUAAAUCGGCCCGUUCUGAACCGCGCUUUUAAUUUCUGUUGA